AGAAUGAACGCUGGCGGCGUGCUUUACACAUGCAAGUCGAGCGAGGCGGGGAGCAAUCCCUAGUCGAGCGGCGAACGGGUGAGUAACGCGUGGAUACCUGCCCUGAAGUGGGGGAUAACCCGGGGAAACUCGAGCUAAUACCGCAUAAUACCGAAAGGUCAAAGCGGGCCGCAAGGCUCGCGCUAUAGGAGGGGUCCGCGUCCGAUUAGCUAGUUGGCGGGGUAAUGGCCCACCAAGGCGACGAUCGGUAGCCGGCCUGAGAGGGUGAGUCGGACCGACGACCUGGAACUGAGACACGGUCCAGACUCCUACGGGAGGCAGCAGUGGGAAUUUGCGCAAUGGGCUAACGCCUGACGCAGCAACGCCGCGUGGAGGAGUGAAGGUCGUUUGGUAGUUGUAAACGUACCUCGUUCGGCCGGGAAAAAGGACGAAGACGACCGUAACUAACGUACGCUGAGUUGAGUUGUACGGCGAGAGGAAGACCCGGCCGUAACUACUGUGCC
rnacentral:rRNA from 1 species